AUUGAACGCUGGCGGCAGGCCUAACACAUGCCAGUCUAGCGAGCGGCGGACGGGUGAGUAAUGUAUGGGGAUCUGCCCGAUAGAGGGGGCUAACUACUGGAAACGGUGGCUAAUACCGCAUACUAUCGGAUGAACCCAUAUGGGAUUAGCUAUUAGGUGGGGUAAAGGCUCCCCUAGACGACGAUCCCUAGCUGGUCUGAGAGGAUGAUCAGCCACACUGGUACUGAGACACGGCCCAGACUCCUACGGGAGGCAGCAGUGGGGAAUAUUGCACAAUGGGCGCAAGCCUGAUGCAGCCAUGCCGCGUGUAUGAAGAAGGCCUGAGGGUUGUAAAGUACUUUCAGCGGGGAGUCGUUACCCGCAGAAGAAGCACCGGCUAACUCCGGGCCAGCAGCCGCGGUAAUUC
rnacentral:rRNA from 1 species